GACGAGCGCUGGCGGCGUGCCUAAUACAUGCAAGUAGAACGCUGAAGAGAGGAGCUUGCUCUUCUUGGAUGAGUUGCGAACGGGUGAGUAACGCGUAGGUAACCUGCCUUGUAGCGGGGGAUAACUAUUGGAAACGAUAGCUAAUACCGCAUAACAAUGGAUGACACAUGUCAUUUAUUUGAAAGGGGCAAUUGCUCCACUACAAGAUGGACCUGCGUUGUAUUAGCUAGUAGGUGAGGUAAUGGCUCACCUAGGCGACGAUACAUAGCCGACCUGAGAGGGUGAUCGGCCACACUGGGACUGAGACACGGCCCAGACUCCUACGGGAGGCAGCAGUAGGGAAUCUUCGGCAAUGGGGGCAACCCUGACCGAGCAACGCCGCGUGAGUGAAGAAGGUUUUCGGAUCGUAAAGCUCUGUUGUAAGUCAAGAACGGGUGUGGGAGUGGAAAGUUCACACUGUGACGGUAGCUUACCAGAAAGGGACGGCUAACUACGUG
rnacentral:rRNA from 1 species